rnacentral:rRNA from 1 species
AGCAGCAGCCGCGGGAAUACGUAGGGUGCAAGCGUUAAUCGGAAUUACUGGGCGUAAAGCGUGCGCAGGCGGUUAUAUAAGACAGAUGUGAAAUCCCCGGGCUCAACCUGGGAACUGCAUUUGUGACUGUAUAGCUAGAGUACGGCAGAGGGGGAUGGAAUUCCGCGUGUAGCAGUGAAAUGCGUAGAUAUGCGGAGGAACACCGAUGGCGAAGGCAAUCCCCUGGGCCUGUACUGACGCUCAUGCACGAAAGCGUGGGGAGCAAACAGGAUUAGAGACCCCAGUAGUCCCUGUCUCUUAUAC